ACCGAAGAAGGAACCUGUCUUUGCAAGCAGCAACUCUCACACAAUGUGAAUACUCCUUCAAGGUGCCUGGCUGGCUUGAUAAGAGUUAAACAAUUUCAAUACCUCCUAAUUUUAUUUAAUUUUGCCUUGUACCGAUUUUGGUCAGAAAAGUGAAACAUGCUCUUGUGCUGGGUAAAGAGGACACCGUAUCUUCUACGAGAGAGGAGCAGGACUUCUACCUUUCCGUGCUUUUGCCACAUGUGCGUAGGGUCCAGCUGUUUUCCCCUCCAAGGAUGCACUGACAGAUCUCAAAUCUGAUUGGACAGAGCAGGGGUCUACUGGGAGCACUGGUAUCUAUCCUGAACUAGCUUAAGUCAUUAAUUUAAGGAUGCUAAGGGAUCUUAGAAAAUUCAGGAAGACAAACGGGACCUGGCCUUAACAACAAGCUAGAGAACAGAGCUCAGAACCCAUCCUGAGGAUUCUGCUGUCUUCUGUGUACACCUAAGUCCAGAUCUGCUUAGCUGUUCAUGCACCCAGUCCUGUCCUACACGCCCACCCUCAGGCCAGCUGCUGUGCAAAACAAUGCAGGAAACUGACCGGGAAGCCCAAAACGGGCACAUCACCUAAACUAGGUCAGUCACUCCCUGACUCCAAAAUUUGAAAGCUAAGAUCAAGAAUGAGAGGUCAAUAUAUUGUAGGGCUGCUAAAUAUAACAAACAAAUUUAUAGGGUUCCCAGUCACAUUUGAAGUUCAGAUAAACAACAAAUAAUUGUCAGCACAUAUUUAUACCAAAAAAUAUGCGUAAUUCACCUGAAAUUCAAAUGUAACUAAGUGUCCUGUAUUUUACCCCACAACCCUGGUACCU